rnacentral:rRNA from 2 species
CCUACGGGAGGCUGCAGUGGGGAAUAUUGGACAAUGGGCGCAAGCCUGAUCCAGCCAUGCCGCGUGAGUGAUGAAGGCCUUAGGGUUGUAAAGCUCUUUCAGUGGGGACGAUAAUGACGGUACCCACAGAAGAAGCCCCGGCUAACUUCGUGCCAGCAGCCGCGGUAAUACGAAGGGGGCUAGCGUUGUUCGGAUUUACUGGGCGUAAAGCGCACGUAGGCGGAUUGUUAAGUCGGGGGUGAAAUCCUGGAGCUCAACUCCAGAACUGCCUUCGAUACUGGCGAUCUUGAGUCCGGAAGAGGUGAGUGGAACUCCUAGUGUAGAGGUGGAAUUCGUAGAUAUUAGGAAGAACACCAGUGGCGAAGGCGGCUCACUGGUCCGAUACUGACGCUGAGGUGCGAAAGCGUGGGGAGCAAACAGGCUUAGAUACCCGUGUAGUC